CCAGACUCCUACGGGAGGCAGCAGUGAGGAAUAUUGGUCAAUGGGCGCGAGCCUGAACCAGCCAAGUCGCGUGAGGGAAGACGGUCCUAUGGAUUGUAAACCUCUUUUGUCGGGGAGCAAAGAGAGUCACGUGUGGCUCAUUGAGAGUACCCGAAGAAAAAGCAUCGGCUAACUCCGUGCCAGCAGCCGCGGUAAUACGGAGGAUGCGAGCGUUAUCCGGAUUUAUUGGGUUUAAAGGGUGCGCAGGCGGAAUGUCAAGUCAGCGGUAAAAUUUCGGGGCUCAACCCCGUCGUGCCGUUGAAACUGGCGUUCUUGAGUGAGCGAGAAGUAUGCGGAAUGCGUGGUGUAGCGGUGAAAUGCAUAGAUAUCACGCAGAACUCCGAUUGCGAAGGCAGCAUACCGGCGCUCAACUGACGCUCAUGCACGAAAGCGUGGGUAUCGAACAGGAUUAGAUACCCGUGUAAG
rnacentral:rRNA from 1 species